AACGAACGCUGGCGGCGUGCUUAACACAUGCAAGUCGAACGGUAAGGCCCUUCGGGGUACACGAGUGGCGAACGGGUGAGUAACACGUGGGUGAUCUGCCCUGCACUUCGGGAUAAGCCUGGGAAACUGGGUCUAAUACCGGAUAGGACCACUGCCUGCAUGGGUGGUGGUGUAAAGCUUUUGCGGUGUGGGAUGGGCCCGCGGCCUAUCAGCUUGUUGGUGGGGUGAUGGCCUACCAAGGCGACGACGGGUAGCCGGCCUGAGAGGGUGACCGGCCACACUGGGACUGAGAUACGGCCCAGACUCCUACGGGAGGCAGCAGUGGGGAAUAUUGCACAAUGGGCGCAAGCCUGAUGCAGCGACGCCGCGUGAGGGAUGACGGCCUUCGGGUUGUAAACCUCUUUCAGCACCGACGAAGCGCAAGUGUCGGUAGGUGCAGAAGAAGGACCGGCCAACUACGUGCCAGCCGCCGCAGUAAUAC
rnacentral:rRNA from 1 species